UGGAUCCAGACUUUGAUCCUGGCUCAGGACGAACGCUGGCGGCGCGCCUAACACAUGCAAGUCGAACGAGCGAGAGAGAGCUUGCUUUCUUGAGCGAGUGGCGAACGGGUGAGUAACGCGUGAGGAACCUGCCUCAAAGAGGGGGACAACAGUUGGAAACGACUGCUAAUACCGCAUAAGCCCACGGCUCGGCAUCGAGCAGAGGGAAAAGGAGCAAUCCGCUUUGAGAUGGCCUCGCGUCCGAUUAGCUAGUUGGUGAGGUAAUGGCCCACCAAGGCGACGAUCGGUAGCCGGACUGAGAGGUUGAACGGCCACAUUGGGACUGAGACACGGCCCAGACUCCUACGGGAGGCAGCAGUGGGGAAUAUUGCACAAUGGGGGAAACCCUGAUGCAGCGACGCCGCGUGGAGGAAGAAGGUCUUCGGAUUGUAAACUCCUGUUGUUGAGGAAGAUAAUGACGGUACUCAACAAGGAAGUGACGGCUAACUACGUGCCAGCAGCCGCGGUAAAACGUAGGUCACAAGCGUUGUCCGGAAUUACUGGGUGUAAAGGGAGCGCAGGCGGGAAGACAAGUUGGAAGUGAAAUCCAUGGGCUCAACCCAUGAACUGCUUUCAAAACUGUUUUUCUUGAGUAGUGCAGAGGUAGGCGGAAUUCCCGGUGUAGCGGUGGAAUGCGUAGAUAUCGGGAGGAACACCAGUGGCGAAGGCGGCCUACUGGGCACCAACUGACGCUGAGGCUCGAAAGUGUGGGUAGCAAACAGGAUUAGAUACCCUGGUAGUCCACACUGUAAACGAUGAUUACUAGGUGUUGGAGGAUUGACCCCUUCAGUGCCGCAGUUAACACAAUAAGUAAUCCACCUGGGGAGUACGACCGCAAGGUUGCAACUCAAAGGAAUUGACGGA
rnacentral:rRNA from 1 species